AUUACCGCGGCUGCUGGCACCAGACUUGCCCUCCAAUUGGUCCUCGUUAAAGGAUUUAAAGUGUACUCAUUCCGAUUACGGGGCCUCGGAUGAGUCCCGUAUCGUUAUUUUUCGUCACUACCUCCCCGUGCCGGGAGUGGGUAAUUUGCGCGCCUGCUGCCUCCCGUAGGAG
rnacentral:rRNA from 1 species